AACGGUCUAUACCUGCGGUACCUGCGGAGGGAUCAUUACUGAGUUAGGGUCCUCGUGGCCCGACCUCCAACCCUUUGUUUAACUAUACCAUGUUGCUUCGGCGGGCCCGUCCCCUCUCCUCUGGGGGGACCGCCGGAGGGGCGUCACACCCCCCUCUGGCCCGUUGCCCGUCGGUGGCCAUCAAACCAAAAACUCUUUGCUAACCAUGUCGUCUGAGUACUUAAGAUUUUAAUCAAAAUU
rnacentral:misc_RNA from 1 species